rnacentral:rRNA from 1 species
CCUAGGGGGAAAGCGGGGAAUCUUCGGACCUCGCGCUAUCGGAUGAGCCCGCGUCGGAUUAGCUUGUUGGUGGGGUAAUGGCUCACCAAGGCAACGAUCCGUAGCUGGUCUAGAGGACGAUCAGCCACACUGGGACUGAGACACGGCCAGACUCCUACGGGAGGCAGCAGUGGGGAAUAUUGGACAAUGGGCGAAAGCCUGAUCCAGCAAUGCCGCGUGUGUGAAGAAGGCCCUCGGGUUGUAAAGCACUUUCAGUGGGGAAGAAAAGCAGAGGGUCAAUAUCCCUCUGCGCUGACGUUACCCACAGAAGAAGCACCGGCUAACUCCGUGCCAGCAGCCGCGGUAAUACGGAGGGUGCGAGCGUUAAUCAGAAUUACUGGGCGUAAAGGGCGAGUAGGUGGUUCGGUCAGUCGGGUGUGAAAGCCCCGGGCUCAACCUGGGAAUUGCAUUCGAUACUGCCGAGCUCGAGUGUGGUAGAGGGAAGCGGAAUUCCGGGUGUAGCGGUGAAAUGCGUAGAUAUCCGGAGGAACACCAGUGGCGAAGGCGGCUUCCUGGACCAACACUGACACUGAGUCGCGAAAGCGUGGGGAGCAAACAGGAUUAGAUACCCUGGUAGUC